rnacentral:rRNA from 1 species
GGGGGCAGGCCUAAACAUGCAAGUCGAGCGUUAACAGGGGUAGCUUGCUACCUGCUGACGAGCGGCGGAAGGGUGAGUAAUGCAUAGGAAUCUGCCCGGUAGUGGGGGAUAACCUGGGGAAACCCAGGCUAAUACCGCAUACGUCCUACGGGAGAAAGGGGGCUCCGGCUCCCGCUAUUGGAUGAGCCUAUGUCGGAUUAGCUAGUUGGUGAGGUAAAGGCUCACCAAGGCAACGAUCCGUAGCUGGUCUGAGAGGAUGAUCAGCCACAUCGGGACUGAGACACGGCCCGAACUCCUACGGGAGGCAGCAGUGGGGAAUAUUGGACAAUGGGGGCAACCCUGAUCCAGCCAUGCCGCGUGUGUGAAGAAGGCCCUCGGGUUGUAAAGCACUUUCAGCGAGGAAGAACGCCUAGUGGUUAAUACCCAUUAGGAAAGACAUCACUCGCAGAAGAAGCACCGGCUAACUCCGUGCCAGCAGCCGCGGUAAUACGGAGGGUGCAAGCGUUAAUCGGAAUUACUGGGCGUAAAGCGCGCGUAGGUGGCUUGAUAAGCCGGUUGUGAAAGCCCCGGGCUCAACCUGGGAACGGCAUCCGGAACUGUCAGGCUAGAGUGCAGGAGAGGAAGGUAGAAUUCCCGGUGUAGCGGUGAAAUGCGUAGAGAUCGGGAGGAAUACCAGUGGCGAAGGCGGCCUUCUGGACUGACACUGACACUGAGGUGCGAAAGCGUGGGUAGCAAACAGGAUUAGAUACCCUGGUAGUCCACGCCGUAAACGAUGUCGACCAGCCGUUGGGUGCCUAGAGCACUUUGUGGCGAAGUUAACGCGAUAAGUCGACCGCCUGGGGAGUACGGCCGCAAGGUUAAAACUCAAAUGAUUUGACGGGGGCCCGCACAAGCGGUGGAGCAUGUGGUUUAAUUCGAUGCAACGCGAAGAACCUUACCUACCCUGGACAU